rnacentral:misc_RNA from 1 species
AUCCGGCGCCGCUGACGCCGCGUGAGGUCUGGGCCUCGGGCCUGACCAGUCUCGAGGAGGCGAAGCAGCGCGGCUUCAUCGGCAUCUGCGACACCAAGGAUCUCGAGCUGAACAAGUGCGAAGCCUGGAUGGCGGAGAACNNNNNNNCGGAACGCGUCGAUCUCACCUCGCGGCGCUAUUUCCACGGCAAGGCGGGUCCCGCGGUGAA